GUUUACCGUAGAAAUCCAUGUCCCAUCGUACCUUUGACAUGAAAGAAAAAAAAUAUUUUUUUUUAAAUAUUCGAUCCCGUUAAAAUGCACUAUGACCUCCCCACGAAAACAAAGCAAAGAGUAUCGUGCUUGGUAAGUUGAAUCGAAGAUCUAGCAAAAAACAAAAAAAGAACCUGAAAAAAAUUGAAAUUCUCUUUUUCGCACCAAAGUUUUCGAAAUUGGGAACUCGCAUUUACCUCUACUACACCAGAAUUAAAAAAAUAAAUAAAUCACUCUCUAGCAUGGCGUGUUGAUUCGGUUUUUAGGAAAUAGAGGAAGAUUUCCCGUGAAUGAGCAGUGGAUUAAAUGAAAGGGAAGGGAGUAUCGAGAGAUUAUUCUCGACGUAGAAUUCGAUCUGGAAAGAGAACGACAAGGAGUCUUGAUAAUAUAGUUGUGAUUGAUGUCGAUAGUGAUGAUGAGUUUGAUAAUGUUAUUAUCAUUGAUGUCCCGGAGUCUUUACAGCAUAAAUUAAGAGGUUCUAAUGUUGUUAGAGAAGGAAGAAGUUUUCCGUGCAUAAUAAGCAUCGAUGAUGAUGAUACAGUGGAUGAUCAUGAAAUUAAUGCGCAAGGUGAUGGUAACUUGGAUAGUGAUGGCACUUCUAGUCACAGCAGUCCUGCCUCUGAUUGUAUAGGGAAAUCUGUUUAUAGGGAUGCUGAUGGUUGUCGAGUUGCUGAGGAGAAUAGGCCUGUGUUCAAGUUGAGAAAGUGCAAUAGAACUUAUCCUGAGAAAGCUCCCUCCAGAAAUCGUUAUGGUUUAGAUUCAGAUUCCGAGAGUGAUUCGUCUGAAGAUAGCACCUCUGACUGUGAAGUCAUGGAAGGAUCUUUUGGAGAGGUUCGAGAACAGUGGGAAAAGGCUUCCCUGAAGAGAAAAUCCAAGUCGUGUAAAGGUCUGAAUGACCAGGCUAGUCCAUGCAGUUCCCACGGUGAUGUUCAUCCAAAUGCUGAAGUAGAAAACAGAACUAAACAAAAUCCAGAUCCUUCUGUUUGCUCUAGUUCAAAAAAUGUAAAUUUUGAGAAAGUGAACACUUUUGCCUCCACUUCCACUAGAGAUGGAGUUCUGGGUGGUUGUUCUUCCAGUGCCAAGAUGGAAAAUCCUUUUGCAAAUUAUAACCAGAAAGGUGAAAGCUUUUCAAGGCCACAGAAAUCAAGAACAAAUGAGAAUAUUCAUUUUCAUUGGAAGAGCGAUGAUCUUUGUGGAGGAGAGAGAUUCAUGGAUGAUAGUAGUACUUCCUAUAACAAAUUUCAAACUUUAAAUGGCCUUGGCACUAGGUUUCCUCCAGGGCCUUCUUCACGGUCCAAUCAAGAAAAGGAUGAUAAACAGUAUCAUCAUAGAAGAGCAUGUUUUCAGGAUAUGGAACAAAACACUGCGACAGGGCAUUCUUUUCCAAAUGACCAAAGUGGACCUAACUUGCACUCAGAUGAUGGGAAAGCUAGUGUUUUGAAUGAAGAUGCUUCUUUACCUGAUGGUCACUUUCUCGGUGAGGAACAUGAUGUUAUUAACAUUCAAGUUGAUUCAAAGGAGGAAUAUAAAGAAUUUACUCAGGUGCCAUCUAGUUGCAAGAUUCUUUCAAAUGAGGCACAAUGCAGAGAGAAGUUUGUGCCUUAUGCUCGAUCAUCUGAGGACAAAGUGGUUGAAAAUGUUAUAGCUCCUUCAUGUACUGCACAAGAAGUCAGUGAUGAGAAAUCUGGUCAUCAGAAAAUGGUUGAAAGAGCUGCCAGAGAAAAGUCUUCACAAUGUCACAACGGACUAGGUAGGCCAGGAACAUCAAAUUCUACAGAAGGAAAGGAGGCGUGUACUGAUUUUGCAUCCAGCAGUCAACUUCAUUAUGAAAGGAAUCCGUUAUGUGCUUUACCUGGUGCUUGUUUUCCUUCUGCUGUAAAGGAUAUAAUCAAUGACCGAGAAAAGCUCAAGGAGACUGAAGAAUACAAACAAGCAAUGGAAGAAGAAUGGGCUGCUAGACAGCAGCAGCUACAGAUUCAGGCAGAAGAGGCUCAGAGAUUGCGGAAGAGAAGAAAAGCUGAAACUUUGCGUAUUUUGGACAUGGAGAGAAGGAAAAAACAGCGUGUGGAAGAAAUGAGAGAGACACAAAAGAAGGACGAGGAGAAUUUGAACAUCAAGGAGAGAUUUCGUGUUGAAGUAAGGAAGGAGCUUUAUAGAUUGGAGGUUACCUGCAUUGACAUGGCAUCCUUACUUCGUGGCUUGGGAAUCCAUGUGGAAGGUGGUUUCCAACCCUUGCCAAAUCAGGUGCAUGCAGCUUAUAAGCGAGCCUUGCUAAAAUUACAUCCUGACCGUGCAUCAAAAACUGACAUUCGUCAGCAGGUUGAGGCUGAGGAAAAAUUUAAGCUUAUUUCUCGCAUGAAGGAGAAAUUUUUGUCCACUUCAUGUUACUAGUGCUAAUAAAAGGUCAAAACACCAUUUAAGGUCAAAAUACCAUUUAAAGAAUUCUGCACAUUCAUAAUUGUGAAGCAGUUAUAACAUUACUCGAUUAGAGAAAUUAUUGUCUUAAAGGUGUUGUUUACACUUGCGGGUCUGUCAAGAAUAGGGUUUGUAGCACUUUGUCAUAUAUUUUGAGGAAAUUACAUGUCUGAUACCCGGUAUUAGCAAUACUGUCUCUUGCAGUUAGCAUAGUUGAAUAUUCAUUGAUACUGACUGAGUGAGAUGUCGGCUAAUGAUUUAAAAAAAACGCAACUGCUGCUCUGCUUCAGCAGCUAUUUUACAUGUAAAGCUUGGUGCAUAUAUGUCAAUAAGAUUGCCCUGGUGUUACAUUUGAUGUGAUUCCAAACGGGCCCAAACGUUUGAACUUUUGAAAGUGAUGCCACCGGGAUUGAGGUCCGAAGCAGCAAAACGCGAGGAUGAUCUUCACCGAGUGUAUUCGGUGAAACUGGGUGUAUGCUUCAUAAAUAUAUAGUUCGGCUCAAAUUUCCUGGCUGCAACAAUAAGUGAAAAUGGGUGUCUAACCCGUUACCUUUUCCCAAAAGAGAAGUGUUGCUAGCAGCGGAGCUAUUAAUUGUUGUUAAUGUUUGUCAUUGAUGGAAGUGGAAACAGUCUUGAAUUUGCAUUCUAGACGAUGUUAAGAAGUCUGUCAUCCUUACCCUUGGCAUUUAUGGCCAACAAUUUACAAUGAUGACCAUAUAAUGGUACGCUAUGAUCAGUACAGUAAAUUGCAAGUCA